rnacentral:rRNA from 1 species
GAUGAACGCUGGCGGCGUGCCUAAUACAUGCAAGUCGAGCGAACGGACGAGAAGCUUGCUUCUCUGAUGUUAGCGGCGGACGGGUGAGUAACACGUGGAUAACCUACCUAUAAGACUGGGAUAACUUCGGGAAACCGGAGCUAAUACCGGAUAAUAUUUUGAACCGCAUGGUUCAAAAGUGAAAGACGGUCUUGCUGUCACUUAUAGUUGGAUCCGCGCGGCAUUAGCUAGUUGGUAAGGUAACGGCUUACCAAGGCAACGAUGAAUAGCCGACCUGAGAGGGUGAUCGGCCACACUGGAACUGAGACACGGUCCAGACUCCUACGGGAGGCAGCAGUAGGGAAUCUUCCGCAAUGGGCGAAAGCCUGACGGAGCAACGCCGCGUGAGUGAUGAAGGUCUUCGGAUCGUAAAACUCUGUUAUUAGGGAAGAACAUAUGUGUAAGUAACUGUGCACAUCUUGACGGUACCUAAUCAGAAAGCCACGGCUAACUACGUG